UUUUCAGUAUUUUUUCAAUCUAAAAACCCUUACUCGCCUAACCAAAAGAAACCCUACUUCUCGUGCGUCUCUCGCGGGUUUUGAAACAAAAUAUAAACACGUAGAAAUCGAAUUUGUCGGUGAAUUUAAUUUCAAAAUUUGGGAUUCCAUUGGGGGUUUUAAAUCGCCUGGGUCGGAUUCAAACCCUAAUUCAUGUUUCGUGAUCGUGAUCGCCGAGUUUUGGGGAGGAAUCGACUGUGUCGUGCUGUGUUGUUGGUUUAGAUCUGAAAAAGCGCACAGUCAUGUAUGAUGGAAUGUGAACAUUGUAGAGUCUCGGUCUGUUCUGCUUAUUGUACAUGGAAGAUAGAGAGGAGAGCACCCAUGGUACUGCAAUUCCCAAAAAAUCGAGAUCUUUGGAUCUGAAGAGUUUGUAUAAACCAAAACUGAGAAAAGAGAGUCCAGAGAAGGGCUUAAAGAGGAAAGGGAGUCAUCCUGGGGGCGUUUAUGAGAAUACGAACAAGAAAAAGAAGACCAGAAAAGAAGUGUCUCUAAGUAGCUUAGAGAAUGCUGAUGCUGGCAAGAAGAAGGUUGUCGAUGAAGAAUUUCAGAAAGGGCAUGCUUCUGGCAGGCAGGAAUUGUGCGAACAAAAGUUGGAGCCAAAGCAGGGAUCAGGUAUCAAUACUUUGCUGAAUAAAGGCUCGCUAUGUUUUGAUGAAAAUGUUUACAUUCCAAAGCGAAGGAGGGAUUUUGUGGGGAGAAGGAAAAUUGAAGUUGGCUUGGCUCCGAAGUUGGCUGGAGAGUCCAGUGAUACAGGUGACCAUGGUGAUCAGAUACUUAAGUUAAGUAGUGAUGAUUUGGACAGGGGGAUUGAAUCGUCAAAGAUCAAACACAAACGAGAUUUUGAUGAGUUUAAGGGAACUAAGAGUAAAUCUGCUGUAAAGAGUGGUGAUUCCUCCUCAAAGAAGUCACUGAAGAAGGACAGAAAACUAAAGGCAUUUGCUCCAGAUAGAAAUAGGGUUGCAACGGAGGUUAAGCCCCGUAUUGAUAGUAGUAAAACAUCUGAUUACAAGAAAAAGGCUGUGGCUCCGGAUAGGGGCAGGGUUGCCAAGGAGGCUCGACCUGUGAUUGAUGAUAGUAAAACAUCUGACUACAAGCAAAAGUCUUUGGCUCCAGAUAGAAAUAAAGUUGCCAAAGAGGUUAAGCCUCUGAUUGAUGCUAAUAAAAUAUCUGAUUAUAUGCGGGAAGAUGAGGAGGAGAAUCUUGAAGAGAAUGCAGCAAGGAUGCUGUCUUCACGAUUUGAUCCAAAUUAUGCCGGAUUUUGUUCAAGUAGUAAGCCCUCUACAUUGCCAUCAUCAAAUGGGUUGUCCUUUUUGAUCUCUUCUAGUCGGAAUAUUGAUAGUUGUGCGUCUAAGUCUCAUUCAGGCUCAGAAUCAGCAUCAGUUGAUACUGCUGGCAGAGUCUUGAGACCGAGGAAACAAUACAACGAAAAAGGUCGUUCCCGCAAGAGGCGGCACUUUUAUGAAAUUUCAUUAGGUGACUUAGAUAAACAUUGGAUACUGAACCAGAGAAUUAAGGUGUUUUGGCCUUUGGACCAAAUUUGGUAUCAUGGUCUUGUCGAUGAUUAUAACAAAGAAACAAAGUGUCAUCAUGUCAAAUAUGAUGAUCGAGAAGAAGAAUGGAUUAAUCUCGAAACGGAGAGGUUCAAACUCCUGCUACUUCCAAGUGAAGUUCCUGGAAAAGCAGGGAAAAAAAGAGCAGUAAGGAAAAAUAAAAGCUCUGGCCAGCAAAAGGGAAGCCUGUCCAGCAAAGAAAGGCAAAUAAGAGAUGUUAUUACUGAGAAUAAUAGCUGUGUUGAAAGCUGUAUGGACACAGAGCCUAUAAUCUCUUGGUUGGCUCGAUCUUCCCAUCGGUUUAAAUCUUCUGCCUUUAACGGGGUUAAGAGAAAGAAAAAUCCUAUUACACUUCCAAGUACAGCCUCAUCAUUAUGCAACGAAGCUGUAAAAACAGGGAGGCCCUUAGUUGAGAGUUCCCCGAGGGAUGGGAAAAACAGCUUUUCCAGAGAUUCUUUAUCAGAAGAUAAAUUAGAUGAUAACUUUGGGGGUAAGUCUCCAUUGCAAAGCUUCAAUUGCCCUAAAGAUGACAAACGACCUAUUGUCUAUUUUAGAAGGCGGUUUCGGAAGCCAACCCCAAUGUUACCUCAUAUUUCUCUAAAUAAACAUGUUAACACAACUGCAUCUUGUUCCAUUUCUUUCGAUCCUGAGGCUGAUGGGCCUAUGGAUGUAAAAGGGUCCAAUGCUGGGAGGGGUGAGAUGGAGGGACCAUUGUGUUACACACAUAAUGGGGGGGUUUUAAAAAUUUUUUUGGAAACUGGUUCAGCAACAUUCAAGUUUGGCUUAAAGUAUCCAACACAAUCUGUGUUGAAUGGCUCGUUCAAAUUAGAGAAUUUGUGGUUGUUCCGUGCUAUUCUGUUACUUCAGUAUGGUACAGUUAUGAGCCUGUGGCCAAGAGUUCAUUUGGAGAUGCUUUUUGUUGACAAUGUGGCUGGACUGAGGUUUCUCUUAUUUGAAGGCUGCUUGAUGAUGGCUGCAGCCUUUGUCUUUUGUGUCCUUCGGUUAUUUCAUCAACCUGCUGAACAGGGGAAGUAUAUUGACGUGCAGUUGCCUGCUACAUCGAUCCGAUUCAGGUUUUCUAGUGUUUAUGGUAUAAGGAAGCCUCUUGUGUUCACUUUUUACAAUUUCUCCAGAGUGAAGAAUUCAAAAUGGUUGUAUUUAGAUUCAAAACUUCAGAGACAUUGCUUACUCGGUAAGCAGCUCCAUCUCUCUGAAUGCACAUAUGAUAACAUCCAGGCACUUCAAAAUCAAUCUAGUGACUAUCCAAUUACGUCCAUCAGAGGGAACCCCUUAGUCAAGGUCAUGCAGAAGAGGAUUAGGCCAGGGAUUAACAUUAUGGGUGUUUCCAGAGAGUUUUCUCAGGCUGAUACCAGUGAAUAUUCUGACUCUGGCAAGAGGAAGAUUCCUCCAUUUUCACUUUCUUUUGCUGCUGCACCUACAUUUUUUAUUAGUUUACAUCUGAAGUUGCUGAUGGAAAAGUCAGUAGCUCAUAUUAGCUUUUGUGAUCAUGCACUGGUAGAUGAUGAGGAAGACUUUGGUCCGAUGACAGAUGACUGCUCUAGCAUCGAUGAUUGCUCUAACCGUAAUGCAGAAUUUAAUGUGAAGAAAAAUAUGAUUACUUUGUCAAAGGAUGCGGUGCCUGAUGGAUUGACUUGUGCCAAAUCAGAUUUAUUAAUUAGUCCAUCUAAUUGCAGUGAUCAACUUCUCUCCCAAAAUUACGAGAAUAUUGAUCGUAGUGCCGAUGGAACUUCCAUGUUGGAUUGUUCUGAGAGGCGUCGCAAUGUUCAGUUAUCAGACUGGCAAACAUGUCACUUUGACCAUUCUUUUCCUACAAAUUCUUUAUCUGAUAAGAUUAAAGCCAAUGAUGAUUCUCAUUCUUUCCUGUGCGAUUUGAGUGUACAAAUACCUUCUGUUGAUCAAUUUGAGAAACCUUGUGAUGGUGAUUUGCGUGAUGCUCAACACUCUUCUGAUUUUUCCUGGAAUGCAAAUGGAGGUGUCAGUCUCAGCCCCAACCCAACAGCUCCCAGAAGUUCUUGGCACCGGAACAGGAAUAAUUCCUCAUCUUUUGGAUUCCAGUCUCAUGGGUGGUCUGAUGUGAAGGGUGAUUCUCUUCACAAUGGUUUAAGCAGUGGACCUAAGAAACCAAGGACACAAGUACAUUAUUCAGUGCCUAUUUCUGGGUAUGAUUACAAUUCAAGGCACAGAAGCCAUUAUCAGAGACAGAGAGGGUUGCCUCACAAGCGAAUUAGAAAGGCUAACGAGAAGAAAUCAUUGGAUGUUGCUAGGAGUCCUGAAAAGAAUCUGGAGGCCUUAUCGUGUGGGGCUAAUGUGUUGAUUACCCUUGGUGAUAAGGGGUGGAGAGAAUCCGGUGCUCGAGUUGUACUAGAAUUGUUUGAUCACAACGAGUGGAAACUUUCUGUAAAACUUGCAGGCAUUACAAGGUAUUCUUACAAAGCACAUCAGUUUCUGCAGACUGGAUCAACAAAUCGUUACACUCAUGCUAUGAUGUGGAAAGGAGGGAAGGAUUGGAUCUUAGAAUUUCCUGAUCGGAGUCAGUGGGCUGUUUUCAAGGAGAUGCACGAGGAAUGCUACAACCAGAACAUCCGUGCUGCUUCAGUUAAAAAUAUACCUAUUCCUGGUGUUGUCUUGAUAGAAGAAAAUUAUGAUAAUGAAGCUGAAGCUACUUUUGUUCGUGGCUCUAAAUAUUUUCGACAAGUUGAAACAGAUGUAGAGAUGGCUCUGAAUCCAUUGCAUGUAUUGUAUGAUUUGGAUAGUGAAGAUGAGCAGUGGAUUUUGACUAUUCAAAAUUCUGAGAAAGAUAAUGGUUUCAUGGAUGGGAUCUCCAAUGAGAUGUUUGAGAAAACAAUGGACAUGUUUGAGAAGGCUGCAUAUGCUCAGCAGCGUGAUCAUUUUACUCCAACUGAAAUAGAGGAACUGACUGUUGAUGUUGGGCCCUUCUGUGUAACCAAAAUCAUUUAUGAAUAUUGGCAGCAGAAAAGGCAGAAGAAGGGAAUGGCGUUAAUACGACAUUUUCAGCCACCUCUAUGGGAAAGAUAUCAACAUGAAUUGAGGGAGUGGGAAGUUGCCGUGACGAAGAAUAAUAUUCCCAUUUCUAAUGGGUGCUUGGACAAGGGUGUGGCUUUGGAGAAGCCAGCUAUGUUUGCUUUCUGUUUGAAACCAAGAGGUUUGGAAGUACCAAACAAAGGAUCAAAACAUCGAUCACAAAAGAAAAUUUCGGUCUCAGGCCAUUCAAACAAUGUUCUGUAUGAACAGGAUGGAUUCCAUCCUUACGGACGAAGAUUCAAUGGGUUGGCAUAUGGUGAUGAAAAGUUUGCAUUCCCAGGGCAUAAUUAUGAUUCGGUGGAUGAUUCCCCAUUGCCCCAAAUCUCUCCGAUAUUCUCACCCCGAGACGUUGGCAGCAUGGGAUAUUAUUCUAUAAACAACCGUUAUGAUAGAAAUCAUAUACCCAAAUAUAACAGAUACAAGUCAAGGAAAUUUGGAUCAUUUGGGUUUCAUAAUGAUUCCUAUAAUCAGAGAAUUUCAUCUUCAGGGAAGAGAAAUGGGGAUGCUAGGUGGAAUGUGGGCUACUAUGACUUGGCAGGCCACAGGCAGUACCUGUUGGAUGGACCUCAUAGACAUGGGAUCGAUCAAACUGAUGGUCCAGAUCUCUAUGAACUUAGAGUGCGUGAUGCCUCGGGAGCUGCUCAGCAUGCAGUUAACAUAGCUAGAAUGAAGAGAGAGAGAGCUCAGAGAUUGCUUUACAGAGCGGAUCUUGCAAUUCACAAGGCUGUGGUUGCUCUUGUGACCGCUGAAGCAAUGAAAGCUUCUGAAGAUUCCAAUGGUGAUGGGUAGAUAAAACAAGAAUGUCUGACUCUGAUAACUUCAUGGAUCCCUCCAGUUUGCAAUUGAGCUGCACAGGGGCCGGCAGCAAGUAGACUCAGCAGUGAGUUUACCAGACAAAGCCAUUGGUUCGACUUUGUUAAUGGCUGUGGCCUAUUAUCAUUAUACUGAACUUCAAGCCGUGAGAGCUGAAAUCAAUGGGAUGGAGUGGAUUUUGUUACUUCAAAGUGCAACUCUUUUGCACGGUUUGCGGGCACCUUCCCCAGCUAUGCCUAGUUCAGUAGUGUUGUUGCGCUGAUCUUCGUGCACAAGGAUCAUCGAAAGAAAUUUGUCUUGCAGCAAAACCAGCUUAUAUUUCAUUUUUAAGCCCUGAGAAGGGUCCUGUAAAUCUGCAACCCUCUUUCUCGUAUAUGGCUAGUCUUUUAUCUUGGUUGGGUAUAUCAAAUGUGUCGACGGAAAGAACUUUAUUGCACGGAUUAGGAUCCUGUUGAAAUUUAACCAUAACAUAUCUGAAUCAUAAAAUUUGAUUUGGUAUAUAAAUGAGUAUGAACACGUACCAAUGGAUGCUAGUUGCAACAGCACCCAAUGCAGCUUAUGAAAUGCUGAAGAUCCGAUUCCAACGGUAGAAUUACCUGAUACUGAUUCAAUGUCUGGCUUACACUGAUAGUUAAAAUCUUCGGCUUGAAAUGAAUGUGACCAUUGUUUUUGGGUUAGAAGCAACCAUUUGGUCCAAAGCUUCGCCUAGUCUGUGUAGCAAGUGUAGAUAAUUACUUUCUGCACCCU